rnacentral:rRNA from 1 species
UACAGAGGGGGCAAGCGUUGUUCGGAAUUACUGGGCGUAAAGGGCGCGUAGGCGGCCCUCUAAGUCAGACGUGAAAUCCCUCGGCUCAACCGGGGAACUGCGUCUGAGACUAGAAGGCUUGAAUUCGGGAGAGGGAUGUGGAAUUCCAGGUGUAGCGGUGAAAUGCGUAGAUAUCGUAAGGAAGACCAGUGGCGAAGGCGAGUUCCUGGACAGUUGGCUGACACUGAGGCACGAAGGCUAGGGGAGCAAACGGG